ACUCUUUCAGCUGAAACAAAUGCUUCUGGGACUGUGGUUGCUGAUAAAAUUGAACAAGUUCUUGCCAGCUACAGAUCUACCCUUUCUCUUGUGAGCAGAAACCCCUCCUGACCAAGACUCUUUUUAUGCCUCUGACACAGUUCAGUCAUAUCUGGCAAAUCAUUUAAGGAAAGGCCUAAGGACUCUCCUGGGAUUUAUGUCCCUAAAGGAUGAUUGAAAGGACAGUUUGUGGGGAGGAGCAGUUCCAUCAACAGCACAAAAAGGACGAGAGAAAAAGCAUAUUCACAGCCUUUUCUGAGGGAUGAGGACCCUGUGAGACUGAAAAAUCAUCUAAGGCUGUCACCCAGUCCCACUGCAGUCAGAAUUGAAUUUGUCAGCCCUGUCAUGGAGGUGCAGCAACUGAAAUAACUGCAGAUAAGAAAGGAUUUGAGUGCUGAGGCAAACAGCUACUGUCUGGAUGGGCUCUCCUGAGAAACAGCGUUCAACUACAGCCAGAAGGAAUUAGGAAGCUAAACACAAGAGGCACGAAUAAGUAAGACUGUACCUCAGCCCAUGACUGUAUGUGCAAGUGUCACUGCUGCACGGAGAUCCUUCUCUUGCUCUCCUCCUUGCUGUGUGUCACCUUCACACCACCACUACCGGUUCUCAAUCACUCCCUUGACAGAGGUCAAAGAGUACCUGCAAAGUCUUAAGUCUUCUUGAUGACAGUCAAGGGGCUGCUGGAGCACUUGAGACAGGCUUCCUCUCCCUUCCUCAGCCUUCACAAAGAAAGCUUCUUUUUCCUGACCUUGAGGCACUUAAUAUUUCUUUAGUGCUGUUAGCAAUGGUGUCAGUGGCAAGUUGUUGUGACUUGGUCAGCGUGAAUUUGUCUGGUCUUAUGUCUUCAUAGACUUUCAUCAUAGGAAAAUCUAAAUGUAAUUUACAAUGUGAUUCCCUCACCUUUACCAAAUCUACAAUGGAGGUAAACUGGAAUAGAUCCUAAAUUUGGAAGUCCCUGUGUUGCUAGGCUCUAGCUCACAGCAAUGUACUUAAUAUACGAGAUUAACAGUUAAAAUGCUCUGUGACAUACUUAUCAAAAAACCUUGGGUAACUCAUUUAUUUUUUCUUUGCUUCCACUUACCACUUACAAAAUGGACAUCACGCUCUUCCUUCUUCCUGAAUAAUUCACAAGGCUUUUAUGAUUGUUCUCUACACUAUUUAUAUGCUGUUCACUUUCUAUGUAAUUUACAGGUUCUUUGGGACUGGGACUACCUGGGAUCUCUCAUACAGUAUCUUUGUAAAUGAAAUGGCAAACUGUCUCUCUUAAUUGUUGUGCAGCACCACCUGAUUUAUCCUUCUGAUUAAGGAAAAAAGUAAUAUGAACAUUUAAAGAAGAUUAUUUUCUAAAAAUUGGAGUGUAUUUGGCAUCAAGACAAUCUCCAUCUGCAGCUAUGAUGUCCCACCAGGAAUGGAGAGUUUAGAGAACUGUGGGCCUGAGACAUCCCACUCCAUCUCCAUGUCAGAUAGGUAAUAGACCUUGCAGUCCAGUCACUUUGUUUGUAUUGCUCUGGAAAAGUGACCUCUGGCAUUUUGAAAAACAGCAAGUGCGAUACCCCAUUCCCAACAUUAGGCAACAUGGCUGUGUCAUACAUGUGGCAUAUCUACUCCAUACAUGAAGGCAGUGCACUCCAGCCACAUCUAAGACCUAUCUUGCCAAUUGAAGGCUACGUGGCAGCUCAAUCUGACUAUGAAGGUUGCCUGAGGGCUACCUUUAGCAUGCAAUGAAGAUGGCCCAAUAGCCACACAACACCCCAGAGCAUCCUGAGCACACCUGCAUGGAAAUUAUCUCCAACUAUCUCCAUUUGUAUGAAUCCUAUCCACAGCUCUUCUGAGAGGUGCACUGUCCUACCAUCAAAUGGUUAUUUCUCAAUAAUUUGGGUGGUUCUUGCCUUGGCAUGAAGAGAGACAUUCACAUUUCAUCUGGGCAGAAAAUCUAUAUUCUGUAUUAUUCUUGUGUUAAUAAUACAGAGGGCUAAAUCAAAGGUGAAUUGAUUUCCUGAAGCUGAACAGACUUUUGGUGUUAGCAUAGAUACAGCCACAGUCAAAGAGCAGACCUUUCAAUUUAGU